rnacentral:lncRNA from 1 species
GUAAUGAGGCAGUGACAACCGGUAGCUACUUAGCAGUUGCCCUGUGCUGGGAAUGCUGCCAGGGGUAUUCUCAUCGCACAUCCUCAUUGUGUCUUCCUAACAACACUAUUAUCUUCAUUGUACAAUAAGUGAACAAAUUAUAAGAAGGACCUGAAGGACAGAUACAACUGGGCACACCUUAUGCCUGAAGGACAGACACAACUGUCUUCAGAAGUCAACAGAGACAUUUUCACUAAAGGGUUGAUUCAGAUUCUUCCAACAGUAAUGGAGAGACCACAUCUCUUCGUCGUUUUAGAUAUGGGCUCCAGGGACACAUCAGCCAGGAUGUGUGCAGUGGGGCACGAAGGCAAGUUAAGCAGGCAGAAAAGACAUUCCUCUGUACAACAGCCUCACUUGACACUGAGCAGUAUCAAACGCCUUCUAAAGCAACAAUGUAAGCAGAGUCAAAUAUAUAACAUUGGUUUUCUACAAUCCUCUGACAGCUGCAAUCACAAGGUAACCCACAGUUACAUUGUAACUGGUGAUUACUGAAGUCAGAACAAAAGACUUAAAACUUGUGUCUUCUGUGUCCUUAUUCUCUGAUUUUUUUU